rnacentral:rRNA from 1 species
GACGAACGCUGGCGGCGUGCUUAACACAUGCAAGUCGAACGGAAAGGCUCCAGCUUGCUUGAGUGGUCGAGUGGCGAACGGGUGCGUAACACGUGGGCAAUCUGCCCUGCACUCUGGGAUACGCCUGGGGAACUGGGUCUAAUACCGGAUCGGACCUGUAUCCUCAUGGGGUUAGGUGGAACGUUUUUCGGUGCAGGAUGAGCCCGCGGGCUAUCAGCUUGUUGGGGGGGUAAUGGCCUACCAAGGCUACGACGGGUAGCCGGCCUGAGAGGGUGAUCGGCCACAUUGGGACUGAGAUACCGCCCAGACCCCUACGGGAUGCAGCAGGGGGGAAUAAUGCAAAAUGGGCGGAAGGCCGAUGCAGGGACGCCGGGUGGGGGAAGGCGGCCUUCGGGUUGGAAACCCCUUUCAGUAGGGAAGAAGCGCAAGUGACGGUACCUGAAGAAGAAGCACCGGCUAACUACGUG